rnacentral:lncRNA from 1 species
CUAACACAAGGACAACGAAUAACCCGAUAAUGUGUCCACAUAUCAAGUGUCUUAGCAUGUUCAACAAAUCUUUUGACACCUUCAACGAAUUCCUCCCUAAUACCCAUUCUAUUAUCAUUUUUCGUUGAUAUAUUCAGCUAUAAUCAGGUUUUAUCUACGCAAUCAAUCAGAUUCAACUAAUUAGAUCAAUUCACAAAAAUUUAACCAUUUUCAAGUAACUAAGUCAUCUACCAAGCCACAUUCAAAACAAAAAAAUCCCCUUUAAAGCCCCCACACUUAACUAUUUUCAACCAACUAAGUAUCAAAACAAAACCACAUUCAAAACACAAAAUUCCCUUCAAAGUCCCUAGACUUAACCAUUUUCAACCAAAUAAAUCACCUACCAAACCACAUUCAAAACAAAAAAAUCCUCUUUCAAGUCCCUAAACUUAAACAUUUUGAAGCAACUAAGUCACCAACCAAACAACGUUCAAAAUAAAAAAUCUCCUUUAAAGUCCCUAAACUUAACCGUUUUCAAGCAACUAAGUCACCUACCAAACCAAUUCAAAAACAAAAAAAACCCUUUAAAGUCCCUACACUCAACUAUUUUCAACCAACUAAGUGUCAAAACAAAACCAUAUUCAAAAUUAAAAAAUCCCCUUUUAAGUUCCUAAACUUAGCCAUAUUCAAGUGACUAAGUCACCUACCAAACCACAUUCAAAAUAAAAAAUCCCCUUUAAAAUCUCUACAUUUAACCAUUUUCAAUCAACUAAGUAUCAAAACAAAACCACAUUCAAAACACAAAAUCUCCUUCAAAGUCCCUAGACUUAACCAUUUUUAACCAACUAAGUCACCUACCAAACCACAUUCAAAACAAAAAAAUUCCCUUUAAAGUUCUCAAACUUAACCAUAUUCAAGUGACUAAGUCACCUAACAAACCACAUUCAAAAUAAAAAAAUCUCCUUUAAAUUCUCUACACUUAACCAUUUUCAAUCAACUAAGUAUCAAAACAAAACCACAUUCAAAACACAAAAUCCCCUUCAAAGUCCCUAGACUUAACCAUUUUUAACCAACUAAGUCACCUACCAAACCACAUUCAAAAUUAAAAAAUCCUCUUUAAAGUCCCUAAACUUAACCAUUUUAAAGCAACUAAGUCACUUAUCAAACUACAUUCAAAAUAAAAAAAUCCCCUUUAAAGUCUCUAAACUUAACCAUUUUCAAGCAACUAAGUUACCUACCAAACCACAUUCAAAAUAAAAAAAUCCCCUUUGAAGUCCCUACACUUAACCAUUUUCAAGAACUAAGUAUCAAAACAAAACCACAUUCAAAAUAAAAAAAAUCUCUUUUAAAGUUCCUAAACUUAAUCAUAUUCAAGUGACUAAGUCACCUACCAAACCAUAUUCAAAACAAAAAAAUCUCCUUUAAAGUCCCUACACUUAACCAUUUUCAACCAACUAAGUAUCAAAGCAAAACCACAUUCAAAACAAAAAAAAUCCCCUUUAAAGUUCCUAAACUUAACCAUAUUCAAGUGACUAAGUCACCUACCAAACCACAUUCAAAAUCAAAAAUUCCCUUUAAAGUCCCUACACUUAACCAUUUUCAACCAACUAAGUAUCAAAACAAAAUCAAAUUCAAAACACAAAAUCCCCUAAAAAGUUUCUAGACUUAACCAUUUUCAACCAACUAAGUCACCUACCAAACCUCAUUCAAAACAAAAAAAUCUCCUUUAAAGUCCCUAAACUUAACAAACCACAUUCAAAACAAAAAUCCUCCUUUAAAGUCCCUACACUUAACCAUUUUCAACCAACUAAGUAUCAAAACAAAACCACAUUCAAAAUAAAAAAAUUCCCUUUAAAGUUUCUAAACUUAACCAUAUUCAAGUGACUAAGUCACCUACCAAACCACAUUCAAAACAAAAAAAUCUCCUUUAAAGUUCCUACACUUAACCAUAUUCAAGUGACUAAGUCACUUACCAAACCACAUUCAAAUCCCUACACUUAACCAUUUUCAAACAACUAAGUAUCAAAACAAAACCAAAUUCAAAACACAAAAUCCCUUAAAAAGUUCCUAGACUUAACCAUUUUCAACCAACUAAGUCACCUACCAAACCACAUUCAAAACAAAAAAAUCUCCUUUAAAGUCCCUACACUUAACCAUUUUCUACCAACUAAGUAUCAAAACAAAACCAUAUUCAAAAUAAAAAAAUUUCCUUUAAAGUUCCUACACUUAACCAUAUUCAGUGACUAAGUCACCAAACAAACGACAUUCAAAACAAAAAAA